rnacentral:rRNA from 1 species
AACGAACGCUGGCGGCAGGCCUAACACAUGCAAGUCGAGCGCACCUUCGGGUGAGCGGCGGACGGGUUAGUAACGCGUGGGAACGUGCCCUUCUCUACGGAAUAGCCAUUGGAAACGAUGAGUAAUACCGUAUACGCCUUCGGGGAAAGAUUUAUCGGAGAAGGAUCGGCCCGCGUUAGAUUAGAUAGUUGGUGGGUAACGGCCUACCAAGUCUACGAUCUAUAGCUGGUUUUAGAGGAUGAUCAGCAACACUGGGACUGAGACACGGCCCAGACUCCUACGGAGGCAGCAUGGGGAAUCUUAGACAAUGGGCGCAAGCCUGAUCUAGCCAUGCCGCGUGUGUGAUGAAGGCCCCUAGGGUCGUAAAAGCAACUUUCGCCAGGGAUGAUAAUGACAGUACCUGGUAAAGAAACCCCGG